UACGGAAGGCAGCAGUGGGGAAUAUUGCACAAUGGGCGAAAGCCUGAUGCAGCUAUGCCGCGUGUAUGAAGAAGGCCUUAGGGUUGUAAAGUACUUUCAUCGGGGAGGAAAAAACAAAACUAAUAAUUUUAUUUCUUGACGUUACCCGAAAAAGAAGCACCGGCUAACUCCGUGCCAGCAGCCGCGGUAAUACGGAGGGUGCUAGCGUUAAUCAGAAUUACUGGGCGUAAAGAGCACGUAGGUGGUUUUUUUAAGUCAGAUGUGAAAUCCCUGGGCUUAACCUAGGAACUGCAUUUUGAAACUGAAAUACUAGAGUAUCGUAGAGGGAGGUAGAAUUCUAGGUGUAGCGGUGAAAUGCGUAGAUAUCUGGAGGAAUACCUGUGGCGAAAGCGGCCUCCUAAACGAAUACUGACACUGAGUGCGAAAGCGUGGGGAGCAAACAGGGAUUAGAUACC
rnacentral:rRNA from 1 species